UAGGGAAUCUUCCACAAUGGACGAAAGUCUGAUGGAGCAACGCCGCGUGAGUGAAGAAGGUUUUCGGAUCGUAAAGCUCUGUUGUUGGUGAAGAAGGAUAGGAGCAGUAACUGGUUUCUAUUUGACGGUUAUCAACCAGAAAGUCACGGCUAACUACGUACCAG
rnacentral:rRNA from 1 species